rnacentral:rRNA from 1 species
GAACUGAAGAGUUUGAUCAUGGCUCAGAUUGAACGCUGGCGGCAGGCCUAACACAUGCAAGUCGAGCGGAUGACGGGAGCUUGCUCCUUGAUUCAGCGGCGGACGGGUGAGUAAUGCCUAGGAAUCUGCCUGGUAGUGGGGGACAACGUUUCGAAAGGAACGCUAAUACCGCAUACGUCCUACGGGAGAAAGCAGGGGAC